rnacentral:rRNA from 1 species
GGUAACAGGAAGCAGCUUGCUGUUUCGCUGACGAGUGGCGGACGGGUGAGUAAUGUCUGGGAAACUGCCUGAUGGAGGGGGAUAACUACUGGAAACGGUAGCUAAUACCGCAUAACGUCGCAAGACCAAAGAGGGGGACCUUCGGGCCUCUUGCCAUCGGAUGUGCCCAGAUGGGAUUAGCUAGUAGGUGGGGUAACGGCUCACCUAGGCGACGAUCCCUAGCUGGUCUGAGAGGAUGACCAGCCACACUGGAACUGAGACACGGUCCAGACUCCUACGGGAGGCAGCAGUGGGGAAUAUUGCACAAUGGGCGCAAGCCUGAUGCAGCCAUGCCGCGUGUAUGAAGAAGGCCUUCGGGUUGUAAAGUACUUUCAGCGGGGAGGAAGGGAGUAAAGUUAAUACCUUUGCUCAUUGACGUUACCCGCAGAAGAAGCACCGGCUAACUCCGUGCCAGCAGCCGCGGUAAUACGGAGGGUGCAAGCGUUAAUCGGAAUUACUGGGCGUAAAGCGCACGCAGGCGGUUUGUUAAGUCAGAUGUGAAAUCCCCGGGCUCAACCUGGGAACUGCAUCUGAUACUGGCAAGCUUGAGUCUCGUAGAGGGGGGUAGAAUUCCAGGUGUAGCGGUGAAAUGCGUAGAGAUCUGGAGGAAUACCGGUGGCGAAGGCGGCCCCCUGGACGAAGACUGACGCUCAGGUGCGAAAGCGUGGG